AUUGCUAUAUAGGGCUGGUUUAUUUUUAGAUGACUUCUGCCUUUCAUUCUGUGAAGAACUUAGUACCAGAAGUGGGGUCUAUUAUGCAUAACACCUUUUAGUCCCAGUGCAGAUAGAAAGUCAUCUCUAGACCACUUGCACCUCUGGAAUGUUCAAAGAAACAUCUAAGCUCAGUUUAAUGUGUGAAAUCACAAAGGAUUAAGGAUUGCCAUAUACCAGCCAAUUACUGAUGUAGACGUGUCCCCAAAGGAUGAACCUGGCUGUUAGGAGUGUGCCAUCCCUUUACUCGUAACUUAGGACUUUCAUAUCCAAUGUGAUAACCAUCAAAGCACAUAAUACUGAAUGGACUAUGCACUGGCUCAGUGUCUGUUAUCUGUUGCUGUGUAACAAAUGAUCACAAUGUUAGUAACCUGGCACAAGUUUAUUAACACUCCCAUGGAUCCAGGUGUGGUGGUGCCAGCAGGAUCCCCACUUUGUGGUGUUUCUAGGUUGAAAUCUGGGGGCUACAUUCUCAUCUGAGACUUGGAGUCCUCCUACAAGCUCAUGUGACCGUUGUCAAGAUUCAGUCCCUUGGAUAUUGAAUGUGACUCUCAAACUUUAUUACCCAAUUACAAAAUAUAUUUAAGAGGGAAAAGCUUUUAACAAUUGUCUUGAAUUAGCAAAAUAAAUAAAUAAAUAAAUAAAUAAAUAAAUAAAUAGG
rnacentral:lncRNA from 1 species